GUGGGGAAUUUUGGACAAUGGGCGCAAGCCUGAUCCAGCAAUGCCGCGUGAGUGAAGAAGGCCUUCGGGUUGUAAAGCUCUUUUGUCAGGGAAGAAACGGCUGAGGUUAAUACCUUCGGCUAAUGACGGUACCUGAAGAAUAAGCACCGGCUAACUACGUGCCAGCAGCCGCGGUAAUACGUAGGGUGCAAGCGUUAAUCGGAAUUACUGGGCGUAAAGCGUGCGCAGGCGGUUUUGUAAGUCUGACGUGAAAUCCCCGGGCUCAACCUGGGAAUUGCGUUGGAGACUGCAAGGCUGGAGUCUGGCAGAGGGGGGUAGAAUUCCACGUGUAGCAGUGAAAUGCGUAGAGAUGUGGAGGAACACCGAUGGCGAAGGCAGCCCCCUGGGUCAAGACUGACGCUCAUGCACGAAAGCGUGGGGAGCAAACAGGAUUAGAAACCCUAGUAGUCC
rnacentral:rRNA from 1 species